rnacentral:tRNA from 1 species
GAGCACGUGGCUCAAUGGUAGAGCGUUCGACUCAAAUACCAAAGGUCGCGGGUUCGAAUCCCAGGUGUGCCA